GAUGAACGCUGGCGGCGUGCCUAAUACAUGCCAGUCGAGCGAACGGACGGGAAGCUUGCUUCUCUGAUGUUAGCGGCGGACGGGUGAGUAACACGUGGAUAACCUACCUAUAAGACUGGGAUAACUUCGGGAAACCGUAGCUAAUACCGGAUAAUAUUUUGAACCGCAUGGUUCAAAAGUGAAAGACGGUCUUGCUGUCACUUAUAGAUGGAUCCGCGCUGCAUUAGCUAGUUGGUAAGGUAACGGCUUACCAAGGCAACGAUGCAUAGCCGACCUGAGAGGGUGAUCGGCCACACUGGAACUGAGACACGGUCCAGACUCCUACGGGAGGCAGCAGUAGGGAAUCUUCCGCAGUGGGCGAAAGCCUGACGGAGCAACGCCGCGUGAGUGAUGAAGGUCUUCGGAUCGUAAAACUCUGUUAUUAGGGAAGAACAUAUGUGUAAGUAACUGUGCACAUCUUGACGGUACCUAAUCAGAAAGCCACGGCUAACUACGUG
rnacentral:rRNA from 1 species